rnacentral:lncRNA from 10 species
AGCCUGGGCUUGAGCGCGCGCAGAAGUCAGCUUCGUGACUUCCUUCUCAGGAUGGAACCAGCUUGGUGGCUUGAGGGAAAGGGGUUCUGAGUUGCAAAUCAGAAACUUGAAGAUGAAAUGGCUACUACGCUGGGUAUUGCCUUUAUCUUGAAUGCCAGCCUGAUGGUCCAAGGUGAACAAGCCUUCCUGUGUUUUCUGAAUGUGCAGUUCCCCCGCACUUUGCCUGCCACCAUGUAAGAUGUGUCUUUGCGCCUCCUUUGCCUUCCACCAUGAUUGUGCGGCCUCCCCAGCCAUGUGGAACGGUGUCUGGGGUCUGUCAGGAUCAACAGGCCUUGAGAGAGACUGACCCAGAGGACUACUAAAAGGGACACCUGCCCAGGCCAGCCUAUUCUACCAUCCUCGUUCUCCUGCAAAACCAAGGCCACGUCAUUUCAGCAGAGGACCUGCGUGUGGAAGGACCCUGCAGCUGGCCCAUCACAGGAGAGGCCCAGACUCACCUCCCAAGGGGACCCUGGCACAUGAAGAUGCUGGUUCUCCUGGGAGUGCUGCCCUGGCCCACAGGAUAGAAGCGCAGGAUGGUCACCCAUGUCUGCUCUUAUUGAAUGUGUCUUAGAAGCGGCUCCAUGUGUGAUUUCUUUCCCACAUUGGCUCAAAAGCCAUCCUGCCCGAGACUGGGGCAGCUGGGAGACCACCGGGUGGCUG